rnacentral:rRNA from 1 species
AGGAUCAACGCUGGCGGCGUGCAUGAGACAUGCAAGUCAAACGGACGAUCAAAGCUUGCUUUGAUCGUUAGUGGCGGACGGCUGAGUAACGCGUGGGUGACCUGCCCCGAAGUGGGGAAUAACUGCCCGAAAGGGUGGCUAGUACCGCAUGUGGUGGUGCGUUCAUUCGCACCAGUAAAGCCGCAAGGCGCUUCGGGAGGGGCCUGCGUCCGAUUAGCUCGUUGGCGAGGUAACGGCUCACCAAGGCGACGAUCGGUAGGUGGUCUGAGAGGACGAUCACCCAGACUGGGACUGAGACACGGCCCAGACUCCUACGGGAGCAGCAGUCGGGAAUUUUGCGCAAUGGACGAAAGUCUGACGCAGCAACGCCGCGUGAGGGAUGAAGGCCGUUCGGUUGUAAACCUUCUUUUUCUCGAGGAAGAUAAUGACGGUACCUGAACGGAAUAAGCCACGGACUAACGUACGUAG